UCGAAUCCUGCAAUAGCAGAAUGACCCGCUAACAUGUCAACAAUUUGGACAAGUGUUGGGGGGCCUCGGUCUCCUGUAUGCGAAUCCCUGGUAGGUGGCCACUCCCGGGUGGCCACUGGCCUCCAAAAUAUUUGGGCGCGGAAUGUGCCAAGGACCUUAAAACUGAAUUGUACGUUCGUAUCCCGUUAGCGGGCAGCGGCGUCAUUCCAAAACAC
rnacentral:misc_RNA from 1 species